CCUACGGGUGGCAGCAGUGAGGAAUAUUGGUCAAUGGGCGCGAGCUUGAACCAGCCAAGUCGCGUGAGGGAAGACGGUCCUAUGGAUUGUAAACCUCUUUUGUCGGGGAGCAAAAGACGCCACGUGUGGCGUGCCGAGAGUACCCGAAGAAAAAGCAUCGGCUAACUCCGUGCCAGCAGCCGCGGUAAUACGGAGGAUGCGAGCGUUCUCCGGAUUUAUUGGGUUUAAAGGGUGCGCAGGCGGACGAUCAAGUCAGCGGUAAAAUUGAGAGGCUCAACCUCUUCGAGCCGUUGAAACUGGUGUUCUUGAGUGAGCGAGAAGUAUGCGGAAUGCGUGGUGUAGCGGUGAAAUGCAUAGAUAUCACGCAGAACUCCGAUUGCGAAGGCAGCAUACCGGCGCUCAACUGACGCUCCUGCACGAAAGUGUGGGUAUCGAACAGGAUUAGAUACCCUUGUAGUC
rnacentral:rRNA from 1 species